rnacentral:rRNA from 1 species
AACAAGUAUUGAAGGCAACGCCUGCCCAGUGAAUAAUUAAACGGCCGCGGUACCCUAACCGUGCAAAGGUAGCAUAAUCAUUUGUCUAUUAACUGUAGACCUGUAUGAAAGGCAAAAUGAGAGUCAAGCUGUCUCUUAUAAUAAAUCUAUUAAACUGAUCUCCUAGUAAAAAAGCUAGGAUGACGACAUAAGACCAGAAGACCCUGUGAAGCUUAAACCAAACUAUUAAACCAAAUAAUAACUACUUUCGGUUGGGGCGACCUUGGAAAUAAAAAGAACUUCCAAACACCAAUGCUUAAACAUACAAACAUUCAGGCCCACAAGCCAACAAACGACCCAGCAAAGCUGAUAAAUGAACAAAGUUACUCCAGGGAUAACAGCGCUAUCUUCUUCAAGAGCCCAUAUCAAAAAGAAGGUUUACGACCUCGAUGUUGGAUCAGGACAUCCUAAUGGUGCAACCGCUAUUAAGGGUUCGUUUGUUCAACGAUUAAUGUCCUACGUGAU